rnacentral:rRNA from 1 species
GACGAACGCUGGCGGCGUGCUUAACACUUGCAAGUCGAACGGAAAGGCCCUGCUUUUGUGGGGUGCUCGAGUGGCGAACGGGUGAGUAACACGUGAGUAACCUGCCCUUGACUUUGGGAUAACUUCAGGAAACUGGGGCUAAUACCGGAUAGGAGCUCCUGCUGCAUGGUGGGGGUUGGAAAGUUUCGGCGGUUGGGGAUGGACUCGCGGCUUAUCAGCUUGUUGGUGGGGUAGUGGCUUACCAAGGCUUUGACGGGUAGCCGGCCUGAGAGGGUGACCGGCCACAUCGGGACUGAGAUACGGCCCAGACUCCUACGGGAGGCAGCAGUGGGGAAUAUUGCACAAUGGGCGGAAGCCUGAUGCAGCAACGCCGCGUGCGGGAUGACGGCCUUCGGGUUGUAAACCGCUUUCGCCUGUGACGAAGCGUGAGUGACGGUAAUGGGUAAAGAAGCACCGGCUAACUACGUG